rnacentral:lncRNA from 1 species
CACAAGCAUAUGGCAUCUUAAACUGGUAGUAAGCAUAGCAGCCCACAACUAAUCCAAUAUCGAGUGAGCAGAAACAAGCACAGUGCUUUGGGCCUAACACAUUGAGCCUAGCAUCAAGAUACAUCAUCAUCAUCAUCAUCACCAUCAUCAUCUGACAUCCGUGCUUUGGGCCUAACACAUUGAGCCUAGCAUCAAGAUACAUCAUCAUCAUCAUCAUCAUCACCGUCAUCAUCUGACAUCCAAACCUGCCUCCGUUGUCUUCCUUGGUUCUGUUGAGAAGUUGUAUCUACCACAUCGGAUCCACCAUCAUUGUUAACUUCAUCGUCAUUUGCUCCAUCAAGCGUGCCAGUGGACGUUGAAUUGCUUAAGGACUCUCCCC